rnacentral:lncRNA from 1 species
GUGGAUAGUGUUUUUCUGAUGAAAUUUCACUGAAAAUUAAAACGUAAGGGGUUCAAAUUAUUUGAUGUUGUUUUUGGGUGCUAUAGAUUAAUGGUAUUUUUUAAAUUGGUAGCAGUGGGCGUUACUGUAUUUUAUGUGUAUAUCGUUAUAGGAAUGGGUAAAACAUGAAUGUUUGAUAGGUGUAUCUUGAAUUUUAAUUG